UUGUUUCAGCAGCACAUAUAUUAAAAACUGGAAUGAUACAAAGAAGAUAAGCAUGGUACCUUCUCAAGGAUGACACACAUGUGUGAAGCAUUCCAUAUUAUU